rnacentral:lncRNA from 10 species
UUUGAAUUAUCUUAGGACUCGUGGGCAAGUCUUGACUGAAAUUACACAUUGUCGUGCGUUUCAAUCUCACAUCUGAAAUAUAUAUGAGUCCCUUGCUUCUCUCCUUUUCAGAAAAAGAAAAUUCUGUACACUUUAAAUCACGGUAAAACGGUUAGGUAUGUUGGCAAAAUUGUUUCAUAGGAAGCAAGGGAAGAACUGAAAUCCUUUUGUAUAAUAUGAUUACGUAUUUGUGGGCUGGGCCGUUUGUUAAUGAGAGCUAUGCACCCCCUGUGCUUUUCCUCUCCACACUCCCUACAUCUCAUCUUCUGAGGCCCAAGACCUGUUUAUUGAUAUUAUCUUCUGUUUUCUCAUUUUCAUUUUAGUUUUUUCAUUUCUAUUAUUAGAAUGUUAAUAUCUACAUCUAAAAAAUGUUUCCAAAAUCAAAAGAUAAACUUUAGGUCACAGUCAGUGAGAACCAUUAAGGAAAUUCCAUCUUUAUGCCCCAUAGUUCUAUUUCCUCCCCAGUGUUCUUAAAUCUGUCAAUCCGGUGUUUUGCCAUUGGAACCUACCUUCAGUUCCUUUCAUAAUCCUCAUCUCUAAAUAUGUGUAAAGCUUUAUUUUAGAAGUCAGUGCAAAAUUUACAUGAUUACAUAAGAACUUAGCAGCUCACUUGUAUUAAUCAGUAAUUUCCAUCACUAUUUCCAUACCUGAACACAAUUUCCCAUAGGAUCUGUGUUAUGUGAUAAAACAGUCAGAAACCAGUUGUGGCUACUGAGCAUUUGAAAUGUGGUUGUUGCUGCUGAGGACUGACUUUCUUUUUUUUUUGAGAAGGAGUCUUGCUCUGUCACUCAGGAUGGAGUGCAGUGGGGUGAUCUCAGCUCACUGUUAGCUCCACCUCCCGAGUUUAAGCGAUUCUCCUGCCUCAGUCUCCAGAGUAGCUGUAGUUACAGGUGCUUGUCACCAUGCCCGGCUUAUUUUUUUGGGGGGGGUGGGGUGGAGGUAUUUUUAGUAGAAACGGGGUUUCAUCAUGUUGGCUAGGCUGGUCUCGAUUUCCUGACCUUAAGUAAUCCAUCCACCUCGGCCUCCCAAAGUGCUGGGAUUAUAGCCGUGAGCCACUGUGCCCGGCCUGAAUUUUUAUUUUACUUUUCAUUAUUUUAAUUCAAAGGCUGAUACUUCAGUUAUUGGAAAAUGUUAGAUAUGUUUUAAACAAUCAGAUAUAUGAAUUUUAUUUUUCAGCACUGAAAUUUAUGAAAUCAAAAUGAAAUUCCAUUUAUUUCCAACAAAAAUGUAAUAUCAAAUUGAAUAGGA